rnacentral:rRNA from 1 species
ACGGAAGGCAGCAGUGGGGAAUAUUGCACAAUGGGGGAACCCUGAUGCUGCGACGCCGCGUGAAGGAAGAAGUAUCUCGGUAUGUAAACUUCUAUCAGCAGGGAAGAUAAUGACGGUACCUGACUAAGAAGCCCCGGCUAACUACGUGCCAGCAGCCGCGGUAAUACGUAGGGGGCAAGCGUUAUCCGGAUUUACUGGGUGUAAAGGGAGCGUAGACGGAACGGCAAGUCUGAUGUGGAAGGCUGGGGCUUAACCCCGGGACUGCAUUGGAAACUGUCGGUCUUGAGUGCCGGAGGGGUAAGCGGAAUUCCUAGUGUAGCGGUGAAAUGCGUAGAUAUUAGGAGGAACACCAGUGGCGAAGGCGGCUUACUGGACGGUAACUGACGUUGAGGCUCGAAAGCGUGGGGAGCAAACAGGAUUAGAUACCCUGGUA